rnacentral:rRNA from 1 species
UACGUAGGGGGCAAGCGUUAUCCGGAUUUACUGGGUGUAAAGGGAGCGUAGACGGCGAUGCAAGCCAGAUGUGAAAGCCCGGGGCUCAACCCCGGGACUGCAUUUGGAACUGUGUGGCUGGAGUGUCGGAGAGGCAAGUGGAAUUCCUAGUGUAGCGGUGAAAUGCGUAGAUAUCACGCAGAACCCCGAUUGCGAAGGCAGCCUUCCGGCGCCCUACUGACGCUGAGGCACGAAAGUGCGGGGAUCGAACAGG